GUUGUCCAAAUAUAAUCUUGUGCACUAUCAAGUAUCAAGAAUGGUAUGUCAAAUAUAAGAAACUUGACUUUUUCUCAGAAAUAUGUCCUCCUUGUGCCAGUUGCAAUGAUUCUGAGUAUAAGUAGUACACAGUUGUAAAAAAUAAACCUCUAAGACUAGUCAUUUUUACAUUCUGCUAAUGGAAUUUUCCCUCAGGUUAUGUUAAAUUGUUGUUCUUUUUCAGUCAUUAUUUAAUCUUUUGGAAUUUAGAAGAUUAGUUCUGAAUUACAAGCCUCCAUCAAAUGCUCAAGAUUUACCCCGAAACCAAAAGGAACAUCGGAAUUUGCCUUUUAUGCGUGAGCUGAGGUAUCUAUUUGCACUUCUUGUUGGUACCAAAAGGAAGUAUGUUGAUCCAUCAAGAGCAGUUGAAAUCCUUAAGGAUGCUUUCAAAUCAAAUGACUCACAGCAGGUAGUUUUGUUGCACUUACUUGUUCAUUAACCAUUUGUAUUUAAUCUGAACAAUAUUAAGCAGCUUUCCCAAGAAUAUGAGACUAUUUGAGAUAUAUGGUUCUGCUUUAUUAAAAAUAACCUGGAACCAUUUAAAACAUUUGGGAGACUUUUAAGAGAAAAGUGAUCUUGAAGGUGUUAAAAUAAAGUUUUAAUUUAUAUUAUGAUUGAAAUGAAAACGAUGGAUAAAAUUAAGAUAAAUACAUAAUUAAACAUCUUCACAAAUGUGUGAUAACAGGAUCAUUAUAGUACACAUGCUUUUGAUAUUCCUGUGUUUGCUGGCAGGGAGUACUUUUCCUUAAUUACCCAGAAAUGGUUUUUGAAAGACAUUAUCUUUGUUAUUGUUGCUU
rnacentral:sRNA from 1 species